rnacentral:rRNA from 1 species
GGGCCCGCACAAGCGGUGGAGUAUGUGGUUUAAUUCGAUGCAACGCGAAGAACCUUACCAGGGUUUGACAUCCUGCGAAUCUCUUGGAAACAGGAGAGUGCCUUCGGGAACGCAGUGACAGGUGGUGCAUGGCUGUCGUCAGCUCGUGUCGUGAGAUGUUGGGUUAAGUCCCGCAACGAGCGCAACCCACGUCUUUAGUUGCCAGCACAUAAUGGUGGGAACUCUAGAGAGACUGCCGGUGAUAAACCGGAGGAAGGUGUGGAUGACGUCAAGUCAUCAUGCCCCUUACAUCCUGGGCUACACACGUACUACAAUGCUACGGACAAAGGGCUGCAAGUUCGCGAGGACAAGCAAAUCCCAUAAACCGUGGCUCAGUUCAGAUCGUAGGCUGCAACUCGCCUACGUGAAGGCGGAAUCGCUAGUAAUCG